GAAGCUAUGCUACGCGCCGGUGAGCCAAGUUGACCGCGGCUGGAGGAAGACAAAAGACGACCUCACAAAGGACAAAACCUGCUCCCACAAGAUCGUCGCCAAACCCUACAUCGCCGGCGGCGCCGUCGCCACCGCCACCUGGACGGUGCAGAGGGACGUCCCCACCGCAAAGUACUUCGUCAGGGCAUACGCACACAACGCUUCUGACAUGGAAGUGGCGUACGGACAGACAACAAGCACCGAAAAGAAGACGAACCUGUUCGACAUCGAAGCUGUCACAGGACGACACGUGUCACUCGACAUAGCGUCGAUCUGCUUUUCCGCUUUCUCGGUUGUUUCUCUGUUCGGAUUCUUCUUCCUCGAGAGGAGGAAGACCAGGAUUGCUGAAGCUAAGUGAUGAGGGUUUUAUUUUUUUGGGAUUUAUAAUUAAUUAAUAAUUAUCAUUUCUGUUGUGUGAACAAGAAAAAAAAAAAAAAAAAAAAAAGAGUUGUGUUUGCUUUGCUUAAUUACAUUUUCUGUUAAUUGUGUUUAAAUUUUAUUACAAUUUUGUUUGUAAUUUAUUUUGUAAUUAGUUUACGCGGAAUAUUUUGUAAUUCACUGUGAUACGAAAUUUUAUUCAAUUGCAUCUUUUGUUCUUGAAAGUUGGAAUUUGUUUAUUUUUUAUUUAUUUAUUUUAUUUUUUAGACCAACACGAGUCCCCAAUGUUAGAAUUAUUUUGUGCAAAUUAAUUAUAAAUUUGUGUCCGAUAAAUUCCAGAUUCAGUUUUAGCUACUGUUCUACUGUUUUACGAAGAGUUGCAACAGUUAAUGGAACAGUAAUAAAAAGACACAAAUUUUAAAGUGGUUCGAAUACAAUUGUACCCUACAUCCACGGGGACCUGCAAAUGAAAUUCACUAAUUUUUAGUUUUACGAAUACAGUAAUAGGACUUAAUCGAAAAUGCAAAGACUCCCUCUUUGUCGACGCCGUUCUUGUAUCCUAUGCUGAAUUGUGAAUCUUCACUUUGCACCACGUCCCUUUCCGCACGGUUGAAAUUCCUUCAACGCUGAGUCCCUCAGUCGGCGGAUCGACCUCCUCCCGAGAUCUUCUGAGUUCUCCUCCCGAAGAACCGAUCUUCUUUUCGCGUGAAAGAAGCAAAUCUUUUGCUGUGUUUUUCUUCUCGAAUAAGAUCACAACUUAGGAGCAGCAACGUAAGAGCAGGAAAAGUUUUUCUCUCAAAUAAAAGGGACAACGUAUAAAAACGUUGAUGCUGCCCUUCUUAUACUUCAUUUGGUGAAUUAGUAGAGCCCUACAAAAAUUAGAGCCCAUUAGGUUAGAAAUACUCUUCACGUAAGGAACAAGGAGUUAUGUAAAACAAGGAAAGUCUUAGUCAAUUAAAUUCCUUGUUAAUAAAACACUUAGGCAAUUAAAUAAAUUAAUGACAAAAUAAGAGUUUAAAGAACUAAGGAAACUUCCCUAGUUUUUAUACACGUUUUUCGCACACGUGUUGAAAAACCGAAAUAGAAUCCUCUCGGAUUCUAACAAUCUCCCCCUUUGUCAUCUAUUUAUUAUAAUCAAGUCCUCCCCCUUGAUCAAAUACCUGACAAAACAUUAGACUGCAUAAUAGAGUAACUGUUAGAACAGUUAAAGGAAAAAGCAGUUAACGAAACAAGAAAAAAGUUAAGCCUAGCAGACUAUUAGAGGCCGUUGUUCAGAAAAUCAAUUCGACAACCACAAAAAAACUACUCCAGAAUACAUUCAGCAUCAACGAACAACUCCUCGUCAUCAUUCGUAUCAACUUCAGCUGUUGUACCAUCAAUUGUUGGAACAGUUGGAGCAACAACAGUUCAGUAGUAGUUCCAGCAGCUGCAUCAGCUCCCCCUGUAUGCGGUUCCUCCUGGGUUGAUGCUUCGUUGUCAACUCCCCCUCAAGAAUAAUCUCCCCCUUUCUGAGCAAGGGCAGUAAAAUAGUCGAGUUUCUUCUUCGUAAAAACGACCUCGAAAAUCAGAGACCCCACUAGGUAGGUUGGCAUAAAAAUCAUGAACCACUUGACAGACGCCACCGGGUUUGAUGCGCUCGGAGAAAGAACCGAGAAUUAAAAGCAUCGACAGCAGAGAUAGGCACCACGGGAUCCGGUGCAGAGUGACCUGCGGUGGUGCGAGUAGCGGAAGGCGAGGCAGAGUGAGUAACGCGUCGACGAGAGCGGCGAGGUGGCGGGGUGCAGGUGAGGCCGGUUUGGGUGGUUGCGAUGGCGGUGCACACGGUGGUGGUGACGAUUGGGCAGCCGGCGAGUGUGGCAGUAGAGGAGAUGGUGGAGAAUAGAUGAACGGUGACGGCGGUGAGACUGGCGGCGACAGCGGUGGAGAAAACCUAGGGACCAAAAUGAGUGGCAGAUUGCCAAAAUUGUCGACGGAGGCGGCCGUGAGGACCGUCGUUUGGACGACGAGGAUGAACCACCGAUGUUUUUUUUUUUUUUUUUUUUAUUUCUUUUGCCCAUGACGAUGUUGUUGAUUCCCUUCGACUGUGUUGAAUUUUUGGGGUUUUGCUGCAAAAGAAGAAGAAGAAGCAAACAGAGCAGUAGGGAAGAAGAAAAAUUGGAGAGAAAAAAAUGAAUACGGGGUUCUCCAAGGAUGACUGUUGGUCUGCUCAGGGGUUGUUUAGCAAUUAGGAAUAGUCAAGUGAGAGAAUUGCAAAUAUAAUAAUUAUGCUCACAAUAAAUUCAAUUAAUGGAAAUCAAAUUCAGAUACAACAACUCUCAACUUUCGCAUAUGAAGCCCAACACAGUUCAAAUAAACUUCGAGAAGAAAAAAAUGCUAAGAACAGUGAGUUACUCCGAAGAAAUAUAUUGCCGCCAAAAAUUACGGACCCACCCCCGGAUUUUUUUUUUUUUUUUUUUUUUUUUUUUUAAUAAAUAAAUAAAUGCCUAACAUGCAGAGGCAAAUAACUAAGACGAAAAUAAGUCAAAAGCACUGGCAUCCCACAAGACAGCAGCUGCCUGCGUCUAGGAUACUAUUAGGACUANNNNNNNNNNNNNNNNNNNNNNNNNNNNNNNNNNNNNNNNNNNNNNNNNNNNNNNNNNNNNNNNNNNNNNNNNNNNNNNNNNNNNNNNNNNNNNNNNNNNNNNNNNNNNNNNNNNNNNNNNNACACACACUAUCAAAGGUAGCUUUUUCAUGAAGAGCAGAGCAAUUAAAAUAGCGAGAUAGUUAUGAUCGUGCAAUGUGUAGUCCCCUGGGCUUUCUAAUUGAGUCGUGUAGUGAGUGUUCGGUCAUGUGGUUUACCGGCUCGACUCAAAAAGGCUUCGAACUAUUCACUGACCGCAUAUAAAAUUUAUAAUGGUCGUGCAAUGUGUAGUCCCUUGGGCUUUCUAAUUGAGCCUUGUAGCGAGCUUUCGGCCACGUGAUUUACUGACUCAACUCAAAAAGGCUUCGAACUAUUCACAGACCAAUUGAUUGACAUUUUAUAUAUAGAAUUAACGAAAAUUCAAGAGUAGCUUUCACUCAUUUGAAGCGGCAGCUUUUCCUUAUGAGUGUGUUCAACCAUGACAAGACUGUGAAGGGUAGUAAAUAUGCUAAAGCCUCUGUAGCUAUCAUUUGGGGAUUGAUGAAGUUCUACCUCACAAGAUUCGAAAGUACAGAUAGUAUCCAAUACACAAGGGGUCUCAUCACAUGCAAUAUGUCUAAUGCAUAACCUAGAUGAACAAAAUGCAGUAUGCGUGAUGUGUCCAUAAAACUUUAAAAGUUGCAAGUCUGGACACAGACUAAUGCAACAGUUUAUGCAACUGCACAGGUCAGACAAUACAAAUUCCAAGCGAAUUUCGCAAGGAAUCAAACCUUUGUGCAUCUAGGGGUUUAGUAAAGAUGUCAGCAAGUUGUUUCUCCGUUGUGACAUACUCUAAUGAGACAGUUCCUUCCUCUACAAGAUUUCUAAUGAAAUGGUAGCGAAUUUCAAUAUGCUUAGUUCGAGAGUGCUGUACUGGAUUCUUGGAAAUAUUAAUCGCACUCACAUUGUCACAAUAAAUAUGCAAUAAAUCUUGACUAAUACCAUAAUCACAUACCAUUUGUUUCAUCCAUAAGAGUUGGGCACAACAACUACCAGCGGCGAUAUAUUCCGAUUCAGCAGUGGAAAGCGAGAUACUAUUCCGUUUUUUGCUGUACAAGGACACGAGAUUGUUCCCAAGAUAGAAACAUCCUCCAGUUGUGAUUUUUCGAUCGUCUGCAUCACCUGCCCAAUCAGCAUCGCUAAAGCCUCGGGUUUGAAUUCCUUCUUCUACCGGGCCAAUGACUUGAUCCACUGGAUGAUUCUUCUUGACUUUUCUUGAGGGUUCCUUGUGAGUUUGAUCAUCCAAUUCGAGAGGCCUGACUUCAGCUUCGUCUCCUGGUCGAAGAUAGACUCGAUUUAUGAUAUGACAUGCAAUGUUAACUGCUUCUGCCCAAAAACGAGGAGCGAUCUCCUUUGCGUUCAUCAUGACCCUGGCCAUCUCUUGCAGAGUGCGAUUUUUGCGUUCAACCACUCCAUUUUGUUGAGGUGUUUUAGGUGCGGAGAAUUCAUGAGAUAUUCUUUUGUGCCAAAGCACUGUAGAGUCUGACAGACUGUUGAAACAGUUCAUACCAGCAGAGACAAGAAUAUAGCAGUUGUCAGAUGAUCGAGUUCCUUGAAUAACACAAUUCUCAUCUUUGUCUAAUACUCGACAUGCGAAUUUGUUGAAUCUGACUUCAAGAUCUUGAUCACAUAGCUGGCUGAUGCUUAUCAGAUUUGACGUGAGUCCUUCUACAUGUAGUACAUUCUUCAGCUUUGGCAGAUUCUCAUGAUUUAGCGAUCCUUUCCCUAGCACUUCACCCUUUUUUCCGUUUCCAAAGGUAACAGCUCCACCGGUGAUUUGUUGAUAGUUUUUCAGAAACUCUUUAACACCGGUCAUAUGUCGUGAACACCCACUGUCAAAAUACCAAUCAUUAGUAGUACUUGCUUUUAAAGAAGUAAUCGCAGAUAAGCAUUUAAACGUGGACUUUUCAACCCAAAUUUUUUGCUGAGGUCUAUUGGAAAUAUCAAUUUUAUUUUUGGGUUUUUGAGAGGGUGAAGGAAAAUAAUCAGCCCUAGCAGAGUAAAGAGAACGAGCCACAAGCUUUUUCACAAGUUUUAAAUAUUUGAAACAUCUAGGACGUAUGUGACCUGGAUUUUGACAGAAAAAACAAGUGGGAAUAAACCUUUUCUUUGAAUUGUGUUUCGUUGCUUCAACAGUUGCAACUGUUUGUGAGACAGAAGCUUGUUUAACAAAGUUGAUUUUUCUGUUUUGAUCUUCCUUUCGCUUUAGAUCAACUUUGGGUAGCUGACUCCCUCCUAUGCCUAGACGAUUAUAGUUUGGCUUGUUGUUGCUUAAGAUUUCAUCUAGAUUACCUCUACCCAAGUUCAAUUUUGCAAUUGCUUCUUGAGUUUGAGUAAGUUUAGCCUGCAAACUAUUUUUCUCUUGAUCACUAGAUAUGACCCUUUCCUCAAGAGUAGAGAUUCUUACCUUUAGUGUCUUGUUUUCCUCUACAAGCACAAACUUCUCCUUUUCCAGGAAGUUAUUUACCUUAACGACGUCGAGCCAUUUUUGGUACAUUUUUUCAUAUACCUCCUUUACUUCAUCCAAGGUUGGUUCUUCCUCAUCACUGCUGCUGUUCGGAUCCUCUGCAAAAGAAGAAUUUUCGUUUAGAUUUUUGUCAUAAUCAGAACACAUAUUUUCAUACCUGGAUUCUGUUUCACAGUCUGUUGCAACAGUUGAAGCAACAGUUGAUUCUGAGCUGUCCAGAGGAACUUUGCUGCUAAAUGCUACAAAGUUAGUGACUUGAUUGUUGUUUCCUUGGUCAUCAUCAGAUUCUUCUUCAUCGCUCCAACCAGUAGUAAGUGACAUUUUCUUCUUUUUCUUCAGGGUGUUUGCGCAUUCUGAUUGAAUGUGACCAAAGCCUUCGCAUUCUCGACAUUGUAUUCUUCUUGGUUUUGACUCCUCUGAGUUAUCUUGAUUUGAAUUUCUCCUAGAAUUUUGAAAAUUCACGGGUUUCCCUGUGCUUGGAAGAUUUCCCCUUUUUUCGAUCUUUUUGAGAAAUUUCCCAAAAUUUUUCGAUAGUAGUGCCAAGGAUUCUUCAACUGUUUGCUCAUCUUCUUGAGUUGACGAAUUUUGGGGCGUUGCAUAUGAUGUUUCUGCUUGAAAGGCUAUCUUCUUUUCUCUAGACUUUUCACGAUGAUUUUCACCAUGAUUGAGUUCUUGUGCUAGAAGUUUCCCCAUGAGUUCGUCUAGUUUGAGCGUGUCAACGUCUCUGACUUCUUCAAUGGCAGCAAUUCGGUAAGCGAAUCUUUCAGGUAAUGAGCGCAUCGCUUUUCUCACUAAUUUGCUUUCUGAGUAUGGUUCACCGAGUGCGUAUGAUUCAUUGGAGAUAUCACAUAAUUUAGCAUGGAAGUCAGUGAUCGUCUCAUUCUCCUCCAUCUUCAAAUUUUCGAAUUUGGUGGCCAACAUCUGUAACUUGGAUGUCCUUACAGUUGACGUUCCUUCGUAUGUGACUUGAAGAAUUUCCCAAGCUCUCUUUGCAGAUUCACAUGACGCUAUUAGUUUAAAUUGAUUAUCAUCAACACCACUAAAUAUUGCGUUUAGGGCCCUCGAGUUGUAGUUUGCGAGUAGUAUUUCUCCAUCACUCCAAUCUGCUUCUGGUUUGAAUACUUCCUCUUUGUCUUCUCCUUUGAUCAUGGGAGGUGUCCAACCAGUUAUGAUGGCGCGCCAUGCUCUCUCAUCUAGGGAUUUGAUAAACAUCUUCAUUUUUGAUUUCCAGUAUGAGUAGUUGGAGCCGAUUAGAAGAGGUGGACGAGUAGUUGAAGAUCCUUCUCGUUGAGUAUUCAUAUCUGCACAAAAUAAGAGUAAUCAGUUCCCAAAAUCUCACUAGAUAUAUUUAGUGACAGGCUCUGAUACCAAUUGUUAGAAUUAUUUUGUGCAAAUUAAUUAUAAAUUUGUGUCCGAUAAAUUCCAGAUUCAGUUUUAGCUACUGUUCUACUGUUUUACGAAGAGUUGCAACAGUUAAUGGAACAGUAAUAAAAAGACACAAAUUUUAAAGUGGUUCGAAUACAAUUGUACCCUACAUCCACGGGGACCUGCAAAUGAAAUUCACUAAUUUUUAGUUUUACGAAUACAGUAAUAGGACUUAAUCGAAAAUGCAAAGACUCCCUCUUUGUCGACGCCGUUCUUGUAUCCUACGUUGAAUUGUGAAUCUUCACUUUGCAGCACGUCCCUUUCCGCACGGUUGAAAUUCCUUCAACGCUGAGUCCCUCAGUCGGCGGAUCGACCUCCUCCCGAGAUCUUCUGAGUUCUCCUCCCGAAGAACCGAUCUUCUUUUCGCGUGAAAGAAGCAAAUCUUUUGCUGUGUUUUUCUUCUCGAAUAAGAUCACAACUUAGGAGCAGCAACGUAAGAGCAGAAAAAGUUUUUCUCUCAAAUAAAAGGGACAACGUAUAAAAACGUUGAUGCUGCCCUUCUUAUACUUCAUUUGGUGAAUUAGUAGAGCCCUACAAAAAUUAGAGCCCAUUAGGUUAGAAAUACUCUUCACGUAAGGAACAAGGAGUUAUGUAAAACAAGGAAAGUCUUAGUCAAUUAAAUUCCUUGUUAAUAAAACACUUAGGCAAUUAAAUAAAUUAAUGACAAAAUAAGAGUUUAAAGAACUAAGGAAACUUCCCUAGUUUUUAUACACGUUUUUCGCACACGUGUUGAAAAACCGAAAUAGAAUCCUCUCGGAUUCUAACACCCAAUAAUAAACAUAAGUACUUACACAUAAUUAUUAAAAAAUCGAUCCAAAAUGAAAGGGCAAAAAUAGAUAUCUAGUGAAUAAAAAACUAUAAUAAUUUUGAUUUUUGAAUUCUUCAACUCCAAUCGAGAUGUGUCUUCUCACGUGCUUUUUUUUUUUUUUUUUUUUAUUUAAUUACGGAUACCCUGAGAUAGGAUUAAAUAACUUACAAGUUUCAGUGGAUUUUGGUACGCCGUAAAACUAGUAGCUCCUUAUAAAUAAUAACGUUAUGAAUGAAUUGUAUAAAUUACUUUUUGUAAAAUAAAUGAACCAUGUGAAUAACAUUACUGAUAUCGACUGAAGUAAGAAUGGAGAUAUAUUUGGAAAUUCAAAACAAAUAUUCUAUGUGCUUUUCAAGAUUUGGUUACUCGUAGUCAUAACUCUUAAUUCUGUAAGUGUGUAAUUGUGAGACAAAUAAAUAGCCUAGCUAGGGAGUUAUUUGUAAUAUCAAUUUACUGUUGGCGCCAGAUUUUCGACUAUUGAAAAUCGAGGAAAUCCGCCGAGUUUUUGGAAUUAAAAGAUGGGCAAAUAUUUAUUUCCAUGUUUAUUUUGGGAAUUAUUUAGAGUCCUAUAUUUGUAAUAUUCCUAUUAGGACUUUGAUUUAUUUCCAGUAUCUUAUUUUAGUUAGGUCUCUUUGUACUUAUCUAGAAUAGAGUUAGAAAUCGGCUAGGAUUCUACUUACCUAGUUAUACGAUUUCUUGGAGAUCAAGCAAGGGCUUGGGAGGCAAAAUUCGUGCCUAUAUAAAGCCUCACAAGUCAUUGAAGAUCAACACUUUUAUUGGAGAAAAACCUCUUAUCGUAUUGAAGUUGUGCUAGGGCAGUUUGCGGAGCAGGAGUGUGCCAUCGUUGCGUGUGCCAACAUAUACAGAGUUGAUGUAUAGAUCUCGGGAGAGGUCAUCCACGUUUCUGAAGGGAGUUCAGGCUACAUAUACAGAGUUGAUGUAUAGAUCUCGGGACAGGUCAUCCGCGUUUCUGAAGGGAGUUCAGGCUACAUAUACAGAGUUGAUGUAUAGAUCUCAGGAGAUGUCAUCCGCGUUUCUGAAGGGAGUUCAGGCUUGAAGAAGGUUCAACGCACGCGGAGUGGAGCUGUUGUAGAGAGACACGAAGUUCGAGUUGUGUACAAGAACGGCGUAAAAAUUAAAGAGGGGGUCUUUAUUAUUUUUAGGGCAAAUUACGGCCACCCCCUGAGGUAUGGUCAAAUUACGAAAAAACCCCUCUUGUUUGGGUAAUUACAACCACCCCCCUCCUUUUAAAUAUUUUUACGUAAAAUUUAUGUAAUUCGGUUAUUUACCGAACCAAAUCGUAUAUUUAGUUCGGUAAAUGGUAUGAAAUGUUGGCGUACCAAAAUUUUGUUUCGGUUUUACCGAAUUAACAUCCCUAAAUUUACCUCUUGAGGGGUCUUUUCGUAAGAUAAAUACAUAGUUGAGGGGGGUGGCUGGGGGUUUUCGUAAUUUCACCAUAGCUCAGGGGGUGGCCGUAAUUUGCCCUUAUUUUUAAUAAGUCCUAUUAAUGUACACUGUAAAUCUGAACUAGUGAAAUCGUGUUGCAAGUCCACGUGGAUGUAGGGCACAUUUGUGUCUGAACCACAUUAAUUUAUUGUGUUCAUUUAUUCUGCUUUCAGUAGCUUAUAACUGUGUUAACACAAGAAUUAUAGUUGUAACUAAAUACUGUUCCCACAACUUAACAGUUACAACUUAGGUUAAUUGAUUUCUAUAGGCAUAUAAAUCUACAUUUAUAGUGAUUUGUAAGUUAGUUAGUCUUACUUCGAAUAGGUGUCCGUAAUUUAAAUUUUUUAUUUUGCUUUAGUUUUACUUUGCAUUCUCAAUAUAACAUUUUAGCAAUUUACAUCAUAGAAUAAAAUUAAUAGCAUUUUCUACAUGUGAAAAUCAACACAUUAUUCAUAUUGCAACCCGUUUUGAGUUUGUUAAAGUUAACCUAGACAUUUUUUUCUUCAUUAUUGCAAUUUUAGGGUACACAAUUUAAGUCAUUUUCUUUUUUCAUUAUUGUCCUUUUCUUUUAUAUGUUUCAAUUUCUUUUCACAAAGAUCAUAUAUAUAUUUUUUCGUAGUCAUUCUUUGAAAUAAAAUUAUUACCACGUAUUCAACGAAUACGUAGGCCUCUACCUAUAUCGGAUUAGAUUAUAUUGGUUAUACGAGAUCACAUUAGUUCACUACAGAUUAUUUAAUUAUUAUGAUAUUUGGUUCAUUAGAUUAAAUUAAGACAAAAAAAAAAAGAGAUCGAAUUACAUGUUUUCAAAUAUAGUCCACGAUGGUUUGGUUUCGUAGAACCUAUGGUGUAUUUCACCAAGUGUAGAAUCUCAUAAAUCGCUUACGACAGUAAAAAGAAAAAUUAAAUGUAUUCACUAUGUACAAACAUACAAUAACUCAUUUUUUUGAUUCUAAAAUAUUUUUUUCUCCACCAUAAAAUGAUUUUAUGUUAGCAGUAAAAACACACUUUCGACCAAUAGUGUUUUUUUUUUCUUCUUCAUUUAAAGAAUAAUACAUGAAACAUAGAUAAUUAAUGCAGCAAUUUUAGUUUCAAAAUACCAUUGAUCCUUGGCAAGAGUGAAUGAGUUUUCUUGUUUCUAUUCACUUUUUUUUUUUUUUUUUUUUUUUUUAUACACAGUAGGAUCUCGAUAAAUUAACAACCUUAUUUAAAUAAUAAUUUAUGCAGAUGCCGACUCAGUUACAUCAUGCUAAAAUUAAUAAUUUAAUAAUUAAAUAUUUCGUUAAAUUAAUAAAAUUAUGCAUAAAUUUAUAAAUGUUUAACUGUAUUAUCAAAUAAUUAGAAUAUAAUUUGGCCACACAACUACUACACAAACAAUAAAAGUCAGACAGUAUCAAUUUGAACAUAUAUAAUAAAAGAUACUAUAUAUUGUUGUGAUUCUUGAAUAUACUGGAAAAGUUCUUGUUCAAUCCCAACUAUUCCAAGAACAAAUGUUAUUAUUAUUAUUAUUAUCAAAGUCAACCCCCAAAAUUGAAUUAUAAAAAAAAAAAAAAAGUCAACUCCCAAACUAAUUGCUAAAACAAUUUAUUGCCCCCUCCUUCGGACAUGCUUUUGAGCCACCUCCCCCAUUUAAUAAAAAAAAAUAAAAAAUUUACAGAUGGGAUUUUUUAUUUUUUUUAAUUUGGCAAGUUGUAUGUAUCUGUACGUAUGUAAUGCAAGCCUCGUUGUUCUUUCAUCCUCUAUAUAAACGGACGACACCGUAUCUUAAUCUCCAUCAUCAGCCUCGGGUAAAUCAAUUAAUAGUAAUCCAACUUAAUUAGCUUUCCCCUGCAGAUUAAUUAUUGAUUAAUCCACCAGAAACGCUAAUUAAUUAAUUACCGAUCAUAUCAAAAAAUGGCGAUUCAGUACCGUUUCCUUCUGGCUUCGGUGUUUGUUUCUUGCUUGGUGGCCACUUGCUACGGCGGCGUUUCCUUCAAAUCUCUUCAGCCAACUCUCACCGUCACCGCCACCCAUAAAGAAGGAGGUAAUAAUUAAUUAAAUAUUCUCUCUCUCUCUCUCUCUCUCUCUCUCUCUCUCUCUCUCUCUCUCUCUCUCUCUCUCUCUCUCUCUCUCUCUCUCUCUCUCUCUCUCUCUCUCUCUCUCUCUCUCUCUCUCUCUCUCUCUCUCUCUCUUAUAACCUAAUUGAAAUUGCAUGCAGUUCUGAAAGCUGGGUUGGACAACGUCACGGUGACGUGGGCGCUGGACCCGAGCGCGCCAGCUGGCAGCGACGCUUCAUACAAGACAAUAAAGGUGAAGCUAUGCUACGCGCCGGUGAGCCAAGUUGACCGCGGCUGGAGGAAGACAAAGGACGACCUCACAAAGGACAAAACCUGCUCCCACAAGAUCGUCGCCAAACCCUACAUCGCCGGCGGCGCAGUCGCCACCGCCACCUGGACGGUGCUGAGGGACGUCCCCACCGCCAAGUACUUCGUCAGGGCCUACGCACACGACGCUGCUGACGUGGAACUGACGUACGGACAGACAACAAGCGCCGACAAGAAGACGAACCUUUUCGACAUCGAGGCCGUCACAGGACGACACGUGUCGCUCGACAUUGCGUCGAUCUGCUUCUCAGCUUUCUCGGUUGUUUCUCUGUUCGGAUUCUUCUUCCUCGAGAGGAGGAAGACCAGGAUUGCAGAAGCUAAGUGAUGAGGGUUUUUUCUAUGUCGUGUUUUAUUUUUAUUUAUGUUGUGUGUACAAGCAAAAGCGUGUUUUCUAUACAUUUUGAUGUUAAUUGUGUUUAAAUUUCAAUUUUAUCGAUGAUCGAUCGAUCGAGUUUCCGACAAAAUAAAAACUCGAGAGAAUCAAUUGAAUUUUGUUUUUUUGGUAUGUAAUUUAUAAUUUACUUUGUAAGUAUAUAUAUAUUUUUUUUACAUGGUGGUAAAUCUUGAACAUAUAUAUUGUCGAGGAUUUAUAUUUUUAAAUCAUGGUGAUAUAGAAAAUUUUGGCUCUGCGGAUAUUGAUUUGUAUGAAAUUAAUUAAUUCAUCCUUUUGUGUUGGAAGUUGAAACUGUUCUUUACUUUAUUUAUUGAUGAAAUGUAUUGUGUACGCAUGUGAACGUACGUGUAAGAGUUUAGACUAACACGGUAACACGAGUCCCAAUUAAUUAUAUUUGUUGUUUCUCGGAUAGUAAGUGAAAAUUCCCCGUUUUGAAAUUGCAUUGAGAUAGUUUACUUUUUGAAAAUAAUUAGUGAUAACCGUCUUUUUAUGUUUUUUUUCGCGAAAUUCUGGAUUGAAUAUUGGAUGUAAAUCAACUAUGUUGAAUUAUUAAUUGACUACAGUUGAUUAAAGUAUUACUGCAUAUAUUAGACCUCAAAACAAUAAAUUCACUACAAAAUAAAUAUAGUUGACUUAUCAAUUGACUUAUAGCCUAUUAUGUAAAUUGUCACAUUACAAUAAUAUAAUCAAAUGAAGAAAAAUCGGAGUGUAUAUAUCGGACGGAUGGGAGAACCUCUGCGACGCAAUCCGUUGGUCUGGGCCAUUGAGGAGGAAAUACUUGUCGAUUUAUGAGAGGAGGGUUGUUUCAAUUUCUGAAGUGAAAGUGUUAUUUGAUGUCCAGACUCCAGACAAUAAUAGUGCACCGACGAUGGUGGAGGUUUUUUAUGUUUAGAUGGUGGUGCAUCGGCGGCGAUGGAUCAGAGGCGGUGUUUGAUUUAGAGACGAUGGUGCCUCGUCAGCGGCCAUCGCUAGAAAUAAAUGUGGAGAUAUAGGGUAAAUUACAACCACCCUCUGAGGUAUGUUAAUAUAUGAAAAAACCCCUCUUGUUUGGAUAAUUACAUCUACCCCUCUCAACUAUGAUUUUUUCUUACACAUUCACCCUUAUGGUGUCAAAUUCAACAUAAUCAUCGAGAUUUCGCGGAAUGUGCUCUAGUUUGAACUCGUUUUGUGUAAAAAUACAGUUUCUGAUGCACCACAAUCUAAUAUAUACAAGCCAAAAAACACAUAUUAUGAUCAUCUUGCUUCAAAAUGUGGAAUUCGAAUAGGAUAAAACGGGUACAAAAGUGAUAAUAUUCCAUAUAAUCUCGAAGAUUGCACUAAAUUUGAAACCGCAAGGGUGGACGUGUAAGAAGUUUUAUAGUUGAGGGGUUAUUGUAAUUACCCCAAAAAAGAGGGGGUUUUUCAUAAUUUAACCAUAACUCAAGGGUGAUUAUAAUUUACUUAAAUUAAUUAAUUAAAUUAGUACUUCACCAAUUAUUAAAAUCGGAUCCCAAAUAAAUUGGCGCAAAUAGACAUCUUGUCAAGAAAACUAUAAUAAUUUGGAAUUUUUCAACUCUAAAUCGAGAUGUUUUUUCUCAUGUGUCUCUUGCCCUAACAUUAUAGCCAACUCAUUUCCUUUUUCUUUGACUUAAUCCUACUUUGCACCCUAGAAAUGUAGCAUGUUUACACUUUGCACCCUAAAAUAACACAAUUAUCAUAUUUUGCACCCUAUAAAACAAUAAAUCGUUCAUAAUGCUCCAUAGUUUGAGUUUGUGAAAGUUAAUGAGACAUUUUUGUGUUAAUAAUUUUACUUUUUAGUGUGCAAGAUUUUAAAUCAAUUUUUUUUUCUUUUUUUUUUUAACCUUUCAGCCUAAAUUAUGUACAAAGUGUAAAAGGAAAUAAAUUAAAUAUCUAAUCAAACAUUUUACAAGAAAAUUUUCAUAAGAAUCUUUAAAAUGUUUUUUGGAUAUGUAUAUAUUUAUUUUAUUGGAAUUGAAAGAAAAAGCAGUUAUAUUUCUUUUUUGCAUGAAAAUAUAAUUUUAUGUAAUUUGGUGAAGGAAAGUUUCAAUGUAAGUCUUUUAUUUUCCUCCACCAUUCAACCUUUUAUUACUAAAUUAUUUAAAAAUUAUAAUUUAUCGAUGUAAAAAAAUUCCAUCAAAUAUUUUUAUCAGAGACCUACCAAACGAAACCAAUAAUUUAGGAGAAUUUUCUUUUGCGCAACAAAUUAAAAUAUAGUUUUUAUUUUUAUUUUUAUAAUAUAUAUACACAUGUGAAUAUAUUAUUUUCGAACUUUUUAUUUUUGAAAUUGGGGUUAAAGAGUAUAGUAAAAUAAAAAGUUUCAAUUGGUAUUUUGCACCUCGAGAAUAAUUUUAUUAAAAGAUGAAAUUACUCUCAUUAAUCUCUAGAAUAUCCAAUAUUGGGAUGCAAUGUGAAUAAUUUCUUAUCUUUCGAGGUACUAUUAAUUAUUUUUGCGGGUGCAAAGUACCCAAAUUAAACAUUAUAUUUCAGAUGUGCAAAAGUGAAUUAAACAUUUUUCUUUAUAUGUUUAAGUUUCUUUCACCAAGAUUAUAUCUAUUUCCGUACUCAUUAUUUGAGUUAUUGGCACGUAUUUUACGUACUCCAUUAUUAUUUUUGAACAAGCACAACAAGUUCUAAACGUUAACUUUGAAGACAUACGGCCUGUUUGGCUAAUCUUAUUUUAAAUAACUGAUAAACUCUUACGUAUAAUAAGUUGUUUUAAGAUCAGUUGAUAAGUUGCCACGUCUUAUUUUUAGAGUUAAUUUUUAAAGUGUUUAGAUAAUGAGUUUAUAACCUAUUUUUACUUAUUAUAAGAUUAUAAAUAAAAAUGUAUGGUAGAGGCCGUACUUAUUAUAUUAUUUGCUUUUCAAUAGCUUAUUUUUUAAAUUUUAAAAUUCUUUUUAAAAAAAAUUAUCAAACAAUUUGAAAUAGCUUAUAAACUCUUAUUAAUAACUUAUAAGUUUAUCCAAACACCCUCAUAGUCAGUUAAUUUGCAUAUCACAUUAGGAGUUCGGUCUAUAAUCGAUUUUUGGUUUCUAAAAUUUCGGUAAUUCGGUACGUACAUAAUAUAUUACCGAAUUUUCAACCAAUAGUAUUUUUUUUUUCCCAUUCCAAUAAAAUUAUAUAGAUAAUACCCCUCAAUCUUAGUUUCAAAAUUUAAUUACCAACCCUUGGCAAAUGGCAAGAGUGAAUGAGUUUUCAAAACUUCUAUCUACAUUAAUUUCUAUUGUAAAAUAAUUAAUUAGAAUCCGGCCACACAACUAUUACACAAACACACAAAAAAAGUCAGACAAUAUCAAUUUGAAAUUAGAAUAAAAGAUACUAAAUUUAUGAUUCUUGAAUAUAUCUGGAAAAGUUCCUCUUCAAUUCCAACUAUACAAGAAUCAUGUUAUUAAUUUAAGUCAACUCCGAAACUAAUGGCUUAAAUAUUAAUUGCCCCCUCCUCUGGACAUACUUUUGGGCCACUCUUACAAUAUUAAGUAAUCUAUUUAUUUUUGUUUUUAUUUGCAAGUUGUGUGUAUUUGACUUUUUCGCUUACGUUGUAGAAUUAAACUAAUUAGGGUAAAUUACGAAAACCCUCUGAACUUACGUUAAACUACGAACAACACCCUCAUCUAUUCGUAAUUAUUAAAAUUCUCCAACGUUUGUUUCUGUCUUAUAUCGACCCCCUUACGGUGUAUUUUUUUCACCUGAAUCUUUUUUAUUCCAGUUCAUAUUUCCUAGAAAAUAUCAAUUCUACCCCUACAGACUUGGCGUUUCUUUAUGCUGCAUUUUAAAGACAAAGAUUACCCUCAACUAAAAAGUUGCGAAAAUGUUAUUUCAGAAGAAGUAAAGAUUCCGUGUAGAGGCCUCAUGAUGGUAGUUUUUGCUUUGAAAAAAAAUGCCACGCACGUCUGUAGGGGGGUACGCAAUUGACAUUUUUCGAGAAAUAUUAUCUGGAAUAAAAAAUAUUCCUUGAAAAAUCGCAUCGUAAGGGGGUCGUUGUAAGACGAAAACAAACGUUGGGAGAAUUUUAGUAAUUACGGAUAUAUGGGGGUAUUUUGGUAAUUUAGUAUAAGUUCAGGGGUUUUUUCCGUAGUCCACCGAAUGAACUAAUUAAUUAAUUAGUGCUUCGUGUUCAUUAAUGCUCUAUAUAAACAAGCGAAAAUGAUUCAUUUUCAAAUAUCAGACAAUCAACAAUAGGAAUAUUCCUCAUCUUCUCCAACUCUUCCUCUCCUAGAUUGUUCUGAGAGUACGUAACUGUUCUUCAAAUGGCGAUUCAGUACCGUUUCCUUCUGGCUUCGGUGUUUGUUUCUUGCUUGGUGGCCACUUGCUACGGCGGCGUUUCCUUCAAAACUCUUCAGACAACUCUUGCCGUCACCGCCACACACAAAGAAGGAGGUAAAAAUCAAAUUCAAGAUUCUCUAUCUCUCUCUCUCUCUCUCGAUCUCUCUCUCUCUCUCUCUCUCUCUCUCUCUCUCUCUCUCUCUCUCUCUCUCUCUCUCUCUCUCUCUCUCUCUCUCUCUCUCUCUCGAUCUCUCUCUCUCUCUCUCUCUCUCUCUCUCUCUCUCUCUCUCUCUCUCUCUCUCUCUCUCUCUCUCUCUCUCUCUCUCUCUCUCUCUCUCUCUCUCUCUCUCUCUCUCUCUCUCUCUCUCUUAUAACCUAAUUGAAUGAAUUGCAGUUCUGAAAGCUGGGUUGGACAACAUCACGGUGACGUGGGCGCUGGACCCGAGCGCGCCAGCUGGCGCCGACGCUUCAUACAAGACAAUAAAGGUGAAGCUAUGCUACGCGCCGGUGAGCCAAGUUGACCGCGGCUGGAGGAAGACAAAGGACGACCUCACAAAGGACAAAACCUGCUCCCAUAAGAUCGUCGCCAAACCCUACAUCGCCGGCGGCGCAGUCGCCACCGCCACCUGGACGGUGCAGAGGGACGUCCCCACCGCCAAGUACUUCGUCAGGGCAUACGCACACGACGCUGCUGACGUGGAACUGGCGUACGGACAGAC
rnacentral:lncRNA from 1 species